AAAACAUGUCUUUUUGAAAAUAAUUUUAAGUCUGAUCUGCUCCAUGAUUAAGAUUAAAUAGCUGCAGAAUAUUAACUGUACUAAGGUAGCAUAAUCAAUAGUUUUUUAAUUAAAAGCUGGAAUGAAUGAUUUGAUAAGGUAGUUAUUGUCUCUGAUUUAAUAAGAUUAAAAUUUUUUUUUUAGUUAAAAAACUAAAUUGAAUUUAAAAGACGAGAAGACCCUAUAGAAUUUUAUAAUUUUUUUUUAAUUAAUUAAAAAUAAAAUAUAUUUUUUAAUUAAAGUUAUUUGAUUGGGGAAAUUAUUAAAUUUAAAAAAUUUUAAAAUAUAAAAAACAAAAAUUAUUGAAAAUUUGAUUUUAUUAUAUAAAUGUAAGAAUAAAUUACCUUAGGGAUAACAGCGUAAUUUUUUUAGAGAGACCUUAUUGAUAAAAAAGUUUGCGACCUCGAUGUUGAAUUAAGAUAAAAUUUUAAAGGAAAAAUUAAAAAUUUUUGGUCUGUUCGACCAUUAAAAUCUUACGUGA
rnacentral:rRNA from 1 species